GACGAACGCUGGCGGCGUGCUUAACACAUGCAAGUCGAACGGAAAGGCCCUGCUUGCAGGGUACUCGAGUGGCGAACGGGUGAGUAACACGUGGGUGAUCUGCCCUUCACUUCGGGAUAAGCCUGGGAAACUGGGUCUAAUACCGGAUAGGAGCCAUUUUUAGUGUGAUGGUUGGAAAGUUUUUUCGGUGUAGGAUGAGCUCGCGGCCUAUCAGCUUGUUGGUGGGGUAAUGGCCUACCAAGGCGGCGACGGGUAGCCGGCCUGAGAGGGUGGACGGCCACAUUGGGACUGAGAUACGGCCCAGACUCCUACGGGGGGCAGCAGUGGGGAAUAUUGCACAAUGGGCGCAAGCCUGAUGCAGCGACGCCGCGUGGGGGAUGACGGCCUUCGGGUUGUAAACUCCUUUCGCUAGGGACGAAGCUUUUUGUGACGGUACCUAGAUAAGAAGCACCGGCUAACUACGUG
rnacentral:rRNA from 1 species